UGCGAUAUGGAUCGGGUAACGAAAAAUGUGUGAAGUACUCAUGCUUUAAAGUGCAGGGCCAGGCGCUGUCGGGGGAACGUAGCACCGAAACCAAAAAAAUAAGAACAAGCUGCCCUGGUGGCCAGACGAGAAGCGCAGCGCGCCGCUCAAAGCGGCCAAUUUGCGACGCGUGCCAGGAGCACGCUACAGACCAGGGUAUUCCUUCGUACAAGCGUGCUCAUGCGCGCCGCGGAAAUGUAGUUCGCCUGUGUCUGUGUGGCGGCUUCGCGCUUCACUACGCCUGUGUGAGCCUCACGCACCUUUUGCAGCAGACUCCGUUGUCUUCUGUCUCUGUGUUGAUGUUAUUAUGCAGCUUUACGUAGCUGAUCAAAAUUCUUCGAGGAUGACACUGCCAGAAGAGUGUGUACCAACUUGUCCAACCUCCUGUUUACUCUGCCAUCAAGGAAAAAGUACUUCAGCACACGGUGAAAUGACUCCACCUUCAUAUUUGUGUUGACAUCAGACCCUGUACGGAAGGCAUGUGCCCAUUCUUCUGACCUCUUAGAUGUGCAGGCUCCCUGAUGCAUUUUGUGUGAAAAGAGCUGAACCGCCCUGCAGGGUAUCUUCACAGAGUGCUUCACUGGUCUUGGACUCUCCUGCUUCUUUCAACAACUGAUAGUCACCCAUGACUAAGGCUGAAUAAUAAGGUGUUUUCCCCAGUCUCAGGGUUUGUUAUGAAGAUCAAUUAUCACCAGCUCGCCUGCUUUCUCACCACUCUUUACAAUAAGGUGUAUAAGCUUUAAACUUUCAGCAGACUUCGGCCAAAGUUACUACUGUCAUAUUGGCAGUGUGGGAAUGGGCACUGUGAUGGAGAAGAGUAAUUUCUCUAGGGAACACCUCUGACCUUUUUUGCAGAAAGUACGUACAGGCUUACCCUCAUGUCUGCAAUAAUGCUGGACAUUAAUCAGAACUCUUUCUUACAACAAUCUGUGUGGAUAACACGGCCUGCAUCGAAGGGCAAUACCUCCAGCCUCAUCACAAGAGAGCACGAGGCAGGGGUGGCACCUUGCGUCGCCAUGCUAUGGAGCUUCCUUUUAUUUAAAUGAAUACUCAUUCCCGUGACAUUCUCCCACAGCAACAGAUACCACUCGACGCCAUGACAGCUGCAAGUGCACAAAGUACACAUCGCACACUCAAGAAGGACUGCAUUAUGUUUGCCCAAAGUUUCAUUGUGCAGCACUUAUUUGCUUUCUUAUGCACAGAAGUCUCAAUCAGCCUUGCGCUAUUGUAUCAACCUUGUACUAUUUUGGGAUACAAAAUCCUGCAGCAGCUCUGGAGGUUUGAGAUGGUAUAAAUCAGGACUUGUCAAUAUCAGACAAGUAUGUCGCAAGUGGAACAUUGUAUGGUGGGUGUGGUACCCUGUACCGUAUCUAAAUGCCAUGGAUUUGGGACAGUAAUAUCCUCGGGUACCAUUUCAAGGCACUAGUCCUGCACAGAGUGGCACAGGGGAGGGAUAUAAAUUUGUUGAAGCGGGAAGGACAGCGUGGCACAGCAGAAAAGUGCACUCGUUGCAUUUACCGUACAUGAAUACCAUCACAUAUUUUGCACUGACAAUCUCAUGUCAGGGAUGAUUGGCAAGCACUGUUUGACUA